rnacentral:snRNA from 1 species
AACGGCGAGCGAACCGGG